rnacentral:misc_RNA from 1 species
GUAAACGAAAAAACCGCCUGGGGAGGCGGUUUAGUCGAAGGUUAAGUCAGUUGGGGACUGCUUAACCGGGUAACUGGCUUUAGUGGAGCACAGAUACCAAAUGCUGUCCUUCCAGUGUAGCCGCUAUAAGGCUUCAACUUCAAGAGUUCUGCGUAUCUAAAUCCACUAUCCAGUUACCAAUGGCUGCUCCAGUGGCGUUAAGUCGUGUCUUACCGGGUUGGACUCAAGACGAUAGUUACCGGAUAAGGCGCAGCGGUCGGGCUGAACGGGGGGUUCGUGCACACAGCCCAGCUUGGAGCGAACGACCUACACCGAACUGAGAUACCAACAGCGUGAGCAAUGAGAAAGCGCCACGCUUCCCAAAGGGAGAAAGGCGGACAGGUAUCCGGUAAGCGGCAGGGUCGGAACAGGAGAGCGCACGAGGGAGCCACCAGGGGGAAACGCCUGGUAUCUUUAAGUCCUGUCGGGUUUCGCCACCUCUGACUUGAGCGUCGGUUUUUGUGAUGCUCGUCAGGGGGGCGGAGCUAUGGAAAAA